GAGAGAGAGAGAGAGAAAGAGAGAGGGAGUGCUCGUGUGUGAGUGAAUGUGUGUGUGUGAGUGCAUGCUUUAAUAUGUUUAUACUCCAACGGAGUGGACCGUGACAGUGCUCUCUCUUCCUGGUGGGAUGGGAGGACCCAGGGAGAUGACUAAGGGGAGCAGGGCAGAGGAAGGACAACGUCUCUAGGCUCUGUAGGCACAGCACUGAAGGGACGAACACACACACACACACACACACAGCACACACACCUCCCUGCGUCCAGCUCCCACUCUCCCCUGACGCGGUCCGGGCCGCUGGUGGGGGUGAUCCUGGCACAGUGAUCCAGACGGGGAGAUUUACAAGAGAAAGAGACGGCCAGAGACAGCCCUCACCAGGGGGGAACACAAUGGAGAGACCGCACGCACACGCACACUCACUCAGACCAACACACGUGGACUCCGGUCCAGGGAACCACCAACUUCUUCCAUCGGUGUGCUGUCCCCUUGUGUGGAGUGGAAGCCGGGCUCUGACUGCAGCAGAGGGGAUGGAUGCUUAGGACCGGGCAAUGAAAACCGUGGCAGCUGGUCUCCGAGGUCAUGAAGCGUGUUCUCUGCUCCCGUGGGUAUAACCUGACCUCCACCCCCAAGACCACCACCCCCACCUCCCC
ensembl:lncRNA